CAAAUAGCGUCCGUAUGACAAAAUGUUCUGAGUACGUAUAUCGUCAAAAAUGUGAAACUUUACGAUGGAACCGUCAGAUGGACUCACAUGACAUCAGUGUUGCCAAUUCCCGAAAUAUAAAUAGUGACCCUCGUACACUGGAGAAAUAGUUUAGUAAAAGCAGCUACCAAAUCUUUAGUAGCAAAAACAUUGACGAAGCGAUUUGGAGUUGGCCUUAAAAUUAUAUGCAGUACAAUCAUUCAUCAUAAACAAAUCGGAGAUAAGUAUUCGUUUUUUUUACAUCAUUACAUCAGUCACCUCGGUCGGGAAACUAUUUUCAUAUUCCCGCCAAGGAUAAACAUCAGUUAUAUUUUAUACAUUACAACACUAUUGACCUUUUUCCUUGUCUUUACAGCUGGCAUGAUCCCAGACUCGUAAUACUUGUUUACCAAAAACCAUCCAAGCUAUGGGAUUGAAGGUAACGGCGAGUUUGUCGCUAAGAUUGGAAUCUUUCUUCAACACAUCAUCGACCGUAAAAAACUUAAGGUACACGAGAGAACAAAAUACGGAUGAAACGUGCUAAUUCUACCGUCACUCUGCUAAUCAGCUGCUAAUCAGCUAAUGCAAAUCAGAGCGAUGCAGCAGGAAGAGGAACGGGAACUUGCUUUGGAAAUGCUCAUCAAAUUGAGGUGGUUGAGG